rnacentral:rRNA from 1 species
AUUGAACGCUGGCGGCAGGCCUAACACAUGCAAGUCGAACGAGAGGAGGACGGGUGAGUAAUGUCGGGGAAACUGCCUGAUGGAGGGGGAUAACGACUGGAAAAGGUAGCUAAUACCGCAUACCAUCAGAUGUGGCCAGAUGGGAUUAGCUUGUUGGUGGGGUAACGGCUAACCAAGGCGACGCUCCCUAGCUGGUCUGAGAGGAUGACCAGCCACACUGGAACUGAGACACGGCCCAGACUCCUACGGGAGGCAGCAGUAGGGAAUAUUGCACAAUGUGCGCAAGCCUGAUCCAGCCAUGCCGCGUGUAUGAAGAAGGCCUUCGGGUCGUAAAGUUCUUUCGGCGGAGAGGCGUUACCCGCAGAAGAAGCACCGGCUAACUCCGUGCCAGCAGCCGCGGUAAUAC